rnacentral:rRNA from 1 species
CAGCCGCCACGGUAAUACGAAGGGGGCUAGCGUUGUUCGGAAUUACUGGGCGUAAAGCGCACGUAGGCGGACUUUUAAGUCAGGGGUGAAAUCCCGGGGCUCAACCUCGGAACUGCCUUUGAUACUGGAAGUCUUGAGUGUGGAAGAGGUAAGUGGAAUUGCGAGUGUAGAGGUGAAAUUCGUAGAUAUUCGCAGGAACACCAGUGGCGAAGGCGGCUUACUGGUCCACAACUGACGCUGAGGUGCGAAAGCGUGGGGAGCAAACAGGAUUAGAUACCCCGGUAGUCCCUGUCUCUUAUAC